ensembl:lncRNA
CCAGCAAAAGCCAGGUUAAUCAAGAACAGCCAGAAGAACUGCAAUUCAGGAUAUGCCAGCUACAGCAGGGCAUAGGCAGUCCAGAGAACAAGGAAGAGGUAUUUGUUUUUAAUAGGAAAAGGAGGGACUUGAGGAGAGCUGAAAUAACCAGAGUCCAUUGGAGGAGACUGAGAACCCAAAGUAUGGAGGCUUCUUAUUGGUUGGACUGCCAGGCUCUGAUUGGCUGUCAUCUGGCAGACAAAACUUUUCUUCUUCCCGCUGGAUAGUGAAGUAAGCAACACCUUCCUGCAGGAGAGACAAAUGACAAGCAGAUUUUAAAGGAAAGCGCUAAGGCUCUGAAUUAGAGAUGUUCCGGACAAAAUGAUUUCACCUCCUCACUGGGGUACUCUGAAGUACUGCUUGAAAUGUUGAUUUGCCGAGAAUUAGAACUGAACGCUAUAGCUACCUUAUUUGAGAGGAAACUAGAGCCCUACGAUGAACCAAGGCCCUUCCCAGGUAACCUUUGAGGUGAGCUGCUGGCCUGGCUGGCUGGAUAUCUGCCCCAAGCUGAGUCUUUACUGUGCAUCUCCAUGAGCCUCAGUUUCCCAGCAGGAAUAGAAACAUCCCAUAUAAAACAUUCUCUCCGACAAGCCUGGGGUACAAGUCAAGGAACACUGUAAAUUUGAAACAGUUCGCAACACUAGUGCAAUAUGGUAUAAAAUUGUGAUUUUG